AGCAGCCUCGCAUUUUGAUACAUGACUUUUAUCUUUUUUGUUGUUCCUCCUUCCUCCAGUUCUCCCUUUUCCUUCUCAUCAAAGCAGGCAGCUGUUGCCUCAGGGGAGAAAUAGAACAGAAGGGGAGCAAGCACUAGCUCGUAGAAUCUAUCAUCUCCUUUUUAAGGAAGAAAAAAAAAAAGUUCAUUUGCUUUCCUACGAAGUCAAGCCCGGCCACCAGGACGUGCAUCCCUAACCUUGCAGAGGUAACAUAUCUGAGGGGGAAGGGAUGGGAAGGGUAGGGGGGAGUGCUCACACCUGACUCCUCUCUUAGGAGGAGAGAGUAAAGAGUUCAGUAGUCCCCCCGCCCCCCUUAUCCGCGGUUUCGCUCUCCGCGGUUUCAGUUACCCGCGGUCAACCGCGGUCCAGACGCAGAUGACCCUCCUUCUGACUUACCAUCAGAAGGUCGUUCGUAGCCUAAUGUUACUACGGCACAACGCCUAUGUCAUUCACCUCAUUUCAUCUCCUCAUGUGGGCAUUUUAUCACCUCACAUCAUCACAAGAAGCAAAGGGUGAGUACAGGACAAUCAGAUAUUUUGAGAAAGAGAGAGUGUGUGAGAGAGAGACCACAUUCACACAACUCUUAUCACAGUGUAUUGUUAUAAUUGUUCUAUUUUAUUGUUAGAUAUUAUUGUUAAUCUCUUACUGUGCCUAACUUACAAAUUAAGCUUUAUCAUAGGUACGUGUGUAGAGGA